AGUCUUUUAAAUGGUGACUUGUAUGAAUGAUUGGAUGAAAUAUAAACUGUCUCUUUAUUAUAAGUAGAAUUUAAUUUUUUAAUUAAAAAGUUAAAAUGUAAUUAAAAGACGAGAAGACCCCAUAGAGUUUUAUAUAAUUAUUUAAUUUGAAAUUAUUUAUAAAUUUAUAAAAAAAAUUUAAAUUAAGUAAUUUUAUUUUAUUGGGGUGAUAGAAAAAUAAAUUUAACUUUUUUUUUAUGAAAAACAUGAAUAAGUGAUUAUUUGAUCCAGAAUUUUUGAUUAUAAGAAAAAAUUACCUUGGGGAUAACAGCGUAAUUUUUUUUUUUAGAUCAAAUAANAAAAAGAGUUUGCGACCUCGAUUUUGGAUUAANAUAAAAUUUAAAUGC
rnacentral:rRNA from 1 species